rnacentral:rRNA from 1 species
UACGUAGGGUGCGAGCGUUGUCCGGAAUUAUUGGGCGUAAAGGGCUCGUAGGCGGUUUGUCGCGUCGGGAGUGAAAACCAGGUGCUUAACACCUGGCUUGCUUUCGAUACGGGCAGACUAGAGGCAUGCAGGGGAGAACGGAAUUCCUGGUGUAGCGGUGAAAUGCGCAGAUAUCAGGAGGAACACCGGUGGCGAAGGCGGUUCUCUGGGCGUGUCCUGACGCUGAGGAGCGAAAGCCAGGGGAGCAAACGGG